rnacentral:rRNA from 1 species
CAGCCGCCGCGGUAAUACGUAGGGUGCAAGCGUUAAUCGGAAUUACUGGGCGUAAAGCGUGCGCAGGCGGUUAUAUAAGUCAGAUGUGAAAUCCCCGGGCUCAACCUGGGAACUGCAUUUGAGACUGUAUGGCUAGAGUGUGUCAGAGGGGGGUAGAACUCCACGUGUAGCAGUGAAAUGCGUAGAUAUGUGGAGGAAUACCGAUGGCGAAGGCAGCCCCCUGGGAUAACACUGACGCUCAUGCACGAAAGCGUGCGGAGCAAACAGGAUUAGAUACCCGGGUAGUCCCUGUCUCUUAUAC